rfam:Pteropus alecto contig104238, whole genome shotgun sequence.
CCAAAGGCCCUUUUCAGGGCCCCCAAAUUUUCAUCUAAAGAGCUCG